rnacentral:misc_RNA from 1 species
GAUGAAGAACGUAGCGAAAUGCGAUAAGUAGUGUGAAUUGCAGAAUUCAGUGAAUCAUCGAAUCUUUGAACGCACAUUGCGCCCCUUGGUAUUCCAUGGGGCAUGCCUGUUCGAGCGUCAUUUGUACCUUCAAGCUUUGCUUGGUGUUGGGUGUUUGUCUCGCCUUUGCGUGUAGACUCGCCUCAAAAUUAUUGGCGGCCGGUACAUUGGCUUCGAGCGCAGCAGAAACGCGAACUCGGGCCCGUCGUAUUGGCUCCCAGAAGCUAUCUUCACAAUUUUGACCUCGGAUCAGGUAGGGAUACCCGCUGAACUUAAGCAUAUCAAUAAGCGGAGGA